CCAUGAACAGAGGGCUGCCUCAGCUAGAUCUGCGAAGUACUAUUUCGACAAAUAAAAACAUUCUAUUUUUUGAGAUGUUGCGGUUAUGAAUUCAGCCACGGUGAAAGACUUGAAGCUCGCAAUCAAGAAGAAAGUGAUCGAGUUAGAGCAAUCCAAGAUGUGUCAUCGACACAUUUCAUGGAGGCACGUUUGGGCUAAUUUCUGCCUAGCACACCACAAUGAGAAGCUCCUUGAUGAUGAUGCUGCACUUCACGAUUUUGGUGUUCGAAAUAAUUCUCAGGUGUUGUUUUUGGCCCCUUCAUUUUUCUGGAAAUAGUCUUUUUUUUUAAUUAUUAUUUUGUUAUUGAUCAUUCAUUGCUCGUUUCCUGCUUAUGAUCUCACCUUGGAGCCUUAACAUCCAUUGGCCUUGCAAAUAUCAACUUAAACAAGAUUCAUAUGCCAAUGAAUUAUGGGAAUCCAUCAUCCCGAGAGAACACGGCUCGACAUGCAAGAUUGUCGUCAAUGGGUUAAGAGCAGGAUGGAAAACAGAAGAGCCAAACCUUGUGAAUUUUCUCAAACAGCUCCACCCCACAAACCCUCUGAUUCAGUUUCAAACGCUACUUUUUCUAGUAAAUAAUACGGUUCUCCCCGUAAUCCUCAGACUCUAUCUUUCCAAAUUUGCUUGAAACAAUUGUCGGCAUGUGAUGGGCCAGUUUAGGAUUAUUCAAGUUCAGGAAAACACCUCUUCAGGAGUUUUGGAGAAAUCACAUCGAAUAACCAAGUUUUGAAGCUUUCACGUUAAUAAUCUGUUAAACUAAUGAAUGGAGGGCUUCAAACAAAGCCAACAAUUGUUUCGGGUUUACCUAUUUAUUUUAAAUAUAUAAUACAGAAUACUCAGAUAAAUAUAAUAUAUCAUAAAGCUGAUUGUCUUUGCCUUUCUACAUUUA